UACGAAGGGGGCUAGCGUUGCUCGGAAUUACUGGGCGUAAAGGGCGCGUAGGCGGACAGUUUAGUCAGAGGUGAAAGCCCAGGGCUCAACCUUGGAAUUGCCUUUGAUACUGGCUGUCUUGAGUUCGGGAGAGGUGAGUGGAAUGCCGAGUGUAGAGGUGAAAUUCGUAGAUAUUCGCAAGAACACCAAUGGCGAAGGCAGCUCGCUGGGACGGUACUGACGCUGAGACGCGAAAGCGUGGGGAGCAAACAGG
rnacentral:rRNA from 1 species